UACGUAGGGUGCAAGCGUUGUCCGGAAUUAUUGGGCGUAAAGAGCUCGUAGGCGGUUUGUCGCGUCGGCUGUGAAAACCUGGGGCUCAACCCCGGGCCUGCAGCCGAUACGGGCAAACUAGAGUUCGGUAGGGGAGACUGGAAUUCCUGGUGUAGCGGUGAAAUGCGCAGAUAUCAGGAGGAACACCGGUGGCGAAGGCGGGUCUCUGGGCCGAUAUUGACGCUGAGGAGCGAAAGCGUGGGGAGCGAACAGG
rnacentral:rRNA from 1 species